rnacentral:rRNA from 1 species
ACAACAGGGAUUGCCUUAGUAGCGGCGAGUGAAGCGGCAAAAGCUCAAAUUUGAAAUCUGGUACUUUCAGUAUCCGAGUUGUAAUUUGUAGAAGCAACUUUGGUGAUGGUCUUUGCAUAAGUUCCUUGGAAUAGGACGUCAUAGAGGGUGAGAAUCCCGUUUAUGGUGAAGAACCCACACUAUGUAAAGUGCUUUCGAAGAGUCGAGUUGUUUGGGAAUGCAGCUCAAAGUGGGUGGUAAAUUCCAUCUAAAGCUAAAUAUUGGCGAGAGACCGAUAGCGAACAAGUACUGUGAAGGAAAGAUGAAAAGAACUUUGAAAAGAGAGUGAAAAAGUACGUGAAAUUGUUGAAAGGGAAGGGAUCUAAAUCAGACAUGGUAUUUUGUGAUCAACAGUCUUUCGGGACUGUGCACUCGCAUUUUACUAGGCCAGCAUCGGUUAGAAGGGGGUAAAAAAGAUUUUGGAAUGUGGCUCCUCGGAGUGUUAUAGCCAAGGUUAAUUGCCCCAUUUCUGACCGAGGACCGCGUCUUUUGACUAGGAUGCUGGCGUAAUGGUUUUGAUCCAC